rnacentral:rRNA from 1 species
AUUGAACGCUGGCGGCAGGCCUAACACAUGCAAGUCGAACGGUAACAGGAAGAAGCUUGCUUCUUUGCUGACGAGUGGCGGACGGGUGAGUAAUGUCUGGGAAACUGCCUGAUGGAGGGGGAUAACUACUGGAAACGGUAGCUAAUACCGCAUAAUGUCGCAAGACCAAAGAGGGGGACCUUCGGGCCUCUUGCCAUCGGAUGUGCCCAGAUGGGAUUAGCUAGUAGGUGGGGUAACGGCUCACCUAGGCGACGAUCCCUAGCUGGUCUGAGAGGAUGACCAGCCACACUGGAACUGAGACACGGUCCAGACUCCUACGGGAGGCAGCAGUGGGGAAUAUUGCACAAUGGGCGCAAGCCUGAUGCAGCUAUGCCGCGUGUAUGAAGAAGGCCUUCGGGUUGUAAAGUACUUUCAGCGGGGAGGAAGGGAGUAAAGUUAAUACCUUUGCUCAUUGACGUUACCCGCAGAAGGAGCACCGGCUAACUCCGUG